rnacentral:rRNA from 1 species
AUUGAACGCUGGCGGCAUGCCUUACACAUGCAAGUCGAACGGCAGCACGGGUGCUUGCACCUGGUGGCGAGUGGCGGACGGGUGAGUAAUACAUCGGAACGUACCUUAUCGUGGGGGAUAACGCAGCGAAAGCUGUGCUAAUACCGCAUACGCCCUGAGGGGGGAAAGCGGGGGAUCGAAAGACCUCGCGCGAUUAGAGCGGCCGAUGCCUGAUUAGCUUGCUGGUGGGGUAAAAGCCCACCAAGGCGACGAUCAGUAGCUGGUCUGAGAGGACGAUCAGCCACACUGGGACUGAGACACGGCCCAGACUCCUACGGGAGGCAGCAGUGGGGAAUUUUGGACAAUGGGGGCAACCCUGAUCCAGCAAUGCCGCGUGAGUGAAGAAGGCCUUCGGGUUGUAAAGCUCUUUUGUCAGGGAAGAAACACCGGCUCUAACACAGUCCGGGAAUGACGGUACCUGAAGAAUAAGCACCGGCUAACUACGUGCCAGCCGCCGCGGUAA